AGGGCGCAGCAUACAGCCAAAAAGUUCCUCCCAAGAAAUGACCUUGCAGCUCCACUGAGACCGAACCAUGAAGCGGAUCGAUGACGGAAAUGACACACCAGAACCAUGACGUUCUGCCAAAUUUGAAGCUCGAACAAUCGACGACCCAUCAUACUCACGGUUAUAACAGAAAAAGCACCUUUGGCAUAAAUGCCCGAACCACUACAGAUCUGACACUGUAUGCAGGAUCGAAACCCUCUCCCGCGACCUCCAGGUGAAGGACGACCGCCACGGACAGAGCCCACCAGAGUCGACAACGGAACGAUUUCCAAAAGAUUAGCUUGAAGAGGCACGUCCUAUACCACUCGCUCCUGGUGCCUCUCGUACUUGAGUAACACGUCAAUGAGACGUUGAAGCGGAAGAGGCUUCGAUAAGAAUGAUACUAAGGUAAGGACGGCAUCGAACUCUAGAGGUAAGCCCGCAAGCACUAUUUCUACCUUCUCUAUCUCCGAUAUCCGAUAACCGGAAGCCUUUCACAUGGCACUGGUAUUUUAAAUCUUUGCUACAUAUUCCUUGACUGAGAAACUAACUUUUUUAAAUGAGUAAAGAUCAUGAAAAAGGCGAGAGAGCUUCGUACCUGUAACGACAUGAAGAGACGAGUGGUGGUAUUCCACACAUCACUCGUUGUUCGAGCCUCUAUAAAAGAAGAUAGGAGUGAGGGAUUAAUUGUGGAGAGUAACCAUGAAGUAAGUAACCUGUCCUGCUACACGAAUGUCGAGGCAUCCAAAUUCAAAAUGAGCGAGCCCUCCGGAAACGACACAAACCGCAGUGGAGCAGGUAACGUUCCAUCUAAAAAAUCAGUUAACUCGUAUCUUUCGAUAUUCAAUCGAGCAUGCUACUUCCAUUAAAUGAAAGUGCCUUCAUCCAACUUGACAGUCUCAUUGUGAGGAAACGACUGAACAAGCCUAGCAUUAGUGAACGUCGGACAUCCAUAUUCGACGGAGGCAGAAUUAGUAGAAGUUGUGGUGGUCAUGAAAGCAGACUAAGAACAGGUCCCCAGCACCUUAG
rnacentral:lncRNA from 1 species